rnacentral:misc_RNA from 1 species
CCUCUGUUUCCCCUCUCUUUGUUUCUUUACCCUGGUUUUCCUUAUCUUUAAUUAUGUAUUCUUAAAGCACAGAUGCCGAAGUUGCUGAAAAUUCUUUCAGACAGAAUAGGGGAUUACAAUUGGGAAACUUAAGUUCAGAGAGUAAAUCUCAGGGACCAAGCAGAAGUGAUACUGAUGCUUUUGGAAUAUCAGAACUGUCAGCAACAAUGGUAAUGGAGGAUGAAUUCAAUAAUACACCUGUUGAGAGGGG